rnacentral:rRNA from 1 species
CGGGUAAGUUCCGACCUGCACGAAUGGCGUAACGAUGGCCACACUGUCUCCUCCAGAGACUCAGCGAAGUUGAAAUGUUUGUGAUGAUGCAAUCUCCCCGCGGAAAGACGGAAAGACCCCAUGAACCUUUACUGUAGCUUUACAUUGGACUUUGACAAGAUUUGUGUAGGAUAGGUGGGAGACUAUGAAGCGGUGUCGCUAGAUAUCGUGGAGUCAACCUUGAAAUACCACCCUGAUGUUGUUGAGGUUCUAACCUAGGUCCAUAAUCUGGAUCGGGGACCGUGUAUGGUGGGCAGUUUGACUGGGGCGGUCUCCUCCCAAAGAGUAACGGAGGAGUGCGAAGGUAACCUAGGUACGGUCGGAAAUCGUACUGAUAGUGCAAUGGCAUAAGGUUGCUUGACUGCGAGACGGACAGGUCGAGCAGGUGCGAAAGCAGGUCAUAGUGAUCCGGUGGUUCUGUAUGGAAGGGCCAUCGCUCAACGGAGAAAAGGUACUCUGGGGAUAACAGGCUGAUUCCUCCCAAGAGUUCAAAUCGACGGGGGAGUUAGGCACCUCGAAGACGGCUCAUCACAUCCAGUGGCUGUAGCCGGUCCCAAGGGUAUGGCUGUUCGCCAUUUAAAGUGGUACGUGAGCUGGGUUUAAAACGUCGUGAGACAGUUUGGUCCCUAUCUGCCGUGGGCGUUGGAAAUUUGAAGGGACCUGCUCCUAGUACGAGAGGACCGGAGUGGACGGAUCUCUGGUGGACCGGUUAUCACGCCAGUGGUAUAGCCGGGUAGCUAAAUUCGGAAGAGAUAAACGCUGAAAGCAUCUAAGCGUGAAACUCGCCUUGAGAUGAGAUUUCCCUGGGGGUUUAACCCCCCUAAAGAGUCGUUCGAGACCAGGACGUUGAUAGGACGGAUGUGGAAGUGCAGUAAUGCAUUAAGCUGACCGUUACUAAUUGCUCGUGAGGCUUGAUCCU